rnacentral:rRNA from 1 species
UUGACCUCGGAUCAGGUAGGAAUACCCGCUGAACUUAAGCAUAUCAAUAAGCGGAGGAAAAGAAACCAACAGGGAUUGCCCUAGUAACGGCGAGUGAAGCGGCAACAGCUCAAAUUUGAAAUCUGGCUCUCGGGCCCGAGUUGUAAUUUGUAGAGGAUACUUUUGAUGCGGUGCCUUCCGAGUUCCCUGGAACGGGACGCCAUAGAGGGUGAGAGCCCCGUCUGGUUGGAUGCCAAAUCUCUGUAAAGUUCCUUCAACGAGUCGAGUAGUUUGGGAAUGCUGCUCUAAAUGGGAGGUAUAUGUCUUCUAAAGCUAAAUACCGGCCAGAGACCGAUAGCGCACAAGUAGAGUGAUCGAAAGAUGAAAAGCACUUUGAAAAGAGAGUUAAAAAGUACGUGAAAUUGUUGAAAGGGAAGCGUUUAUGACCAGACUUGGGCUUGGUUAAUCAUCUGGGGUUCUCCCCAGUGCACUUUUCCAGUCCAGGCCAGCAUCAGUUUUCCCCGGGGGAUAAAGGCGGCGGGAAUGUGGCUCUCUUCGGGGAGUGUUAUAGCCCACCGUGUAAUACCCUGGGGGGGACUGAGGUUCGCGCAUC